rnacentral:tRNA from 1 species
UACAUUUUAGUAUAAGAUGUAUAUAGACUUUUGAUGUCUGAGGAAAUAGUUUGAUUCUAUUAAAUGUAA